CAGACGGUAGUGGAAUAGGACAGGGCACUGUCGGAGUCUGGGCAAACAUCAUGGGGUUACCGAAGAGUGGCGUGACCCGACUGGUUUUUUGUUACUGGAAGAGAGAUGGAGAAUUGAGGGAAGGAGGGAGGACACAGAAAGUACAGCGAAUGAUGCUGCGAGGCUGUCGAACAUUUCUGAUUUCAAUUUGUGCCAAAGGAAAAGACAAGUGAGAUCUCUGGAAAAGGGCCAGAGUGUUGCAGAUAUGCUCUCAGACCUGCUGAGCUUUCCCAGCAAUUACGAUUCUGCUUAUAUUGCUGCAUGUGAAGAAGAUAGAAAAACACACCUGAGUGC